CACGUAGGCACCAAGCGUUGUCCGGAUUUAUUGGGCGUAAAGAGCUCGUAGGCGGUUCAGUAAGUCAGGUGUGAAAUCUUUGGGCUUAACCCAGAGCGUGCACUUGAUACUGCUGUGACUUGAGUUCGGUAGGGGAGUGGGGAAUUCCUAGUGUAGCGGUGAAAUGCGCAGAUAUUAGGAGGAACACCGGUGGCGAAGGCGCCACUCUGGGCCGAAACUGACGCUGAGGAGCGAAAGCGUGGGUAGCAAACAGG
rnacentral:rRNA from 1 species